GAGGGGCAGCGCCCUCGGGGCUCGGACCCGCCGGGGCUGCGGAUCCCGGCGCGGCUGAGCUGAGGGCUGGGCGCUGCCGCUUCUCGGCAGGACCUCUGGUGUGCGGAGCCUGUGCCCGCGGAACCCAAGCAGCCUGGGAGGCUAGACUGAGCGCGGUGGAAAGAAGGUUAGACUUGGUUACCCGGAUUCUGUUUUUAAUUCCCAGCAGUUGUCAAGGGGCUUUGCCGGCGGCAGCCAGUCACCAGCUGCCUUUUGCGCCGCUCCUCUUUCUGAGGGUCGCAGGCCCACCUUCUGUGAGUGCUUCCUGCUGAGCCCGGGUGGAGGGCAGGGCUCCAGCUGCCCCUACCUGGGUGUGACGGCCCCGGGCCUCAGCCCUCACUGCUCUCUCCGAGCGACCACAGUGGGAGCUGGGUAGCUGCUCACCGCCUUCGAGGGCCCAGGAGAAGGCAAAACCCAGACCCUAGGGUGGGCCUCUCCCACCCUGGCUCUGCCAUUGUUUGGCCACCUGAGGCUGACUGUUUCUCCCAGCCAGCAGCUUUUCUCCAGGCCACGGCGUUCGCAUCCGAACAGGAGAGCCGUCCCUGGUCAGCUCAGGGACAGUCCAGGGCCCGUGGCUGUCUAGGACCCAGCCAGCGCAGUAGCCUGGAGUCCAGGUCUGUCUCAUUGGCCACAGUCACGGAGGUGGCUGAGAGCUUUUUCGUUCCUCGCGUCCCCCUCCAAGCCCCCGCGUGCACUGACCCUGAAACUCACCGUCUGCUCCUUCGCGACACGUUUCUAUUUUCCACCAACCUUCUUUAUUGGAAACAUUCCGGUAAAGGUUUUUUAGGCUCCGGAGACUCUGAUGUGUUUGCAGUCCGUUCGUUUAUCAGGUAUACACACCCUCGGAGCACCCCUCACGCGCUGCUUGAUAUGCAAAGGUAGAUUAUCCAGGAACAGGCCACUUUUAUUUGGGAAUAUGUAAUUUUACAUCUUGACUUUGUGUGUGUGUGUGGGACACAUUUCUGUUUUUCAGAAGAGGAGCUCCAGGUCCCAGGUCAGAGAGGGGCGUCACACAGUAAGUAGUCCAGGGGGCUGUUGCCCCAGUUUGGAGCUGGGACCCCUCCUGACUCAGGUAAGAUGUGUCCCUGGAGAUCUCUGAGCCUCGGGUAAGGUGGGCGCUUCGGGUCACCAAGUGGGCUCUGCCCCACUUAGGAGGGGGUGGGCUGUUGGUUUCCAAGUUUUUAGACUCAGUCUCCUGGUCGGAAGGUCCCCCAAGUAUUGGCUGCCCCUGUACCCUGAUGCCAAAUAGAAACACGGAGAUGGAGGUGGAAGACACAGAAAAAGGAGCUUGAAUUUCCAGGCAAAGAGGGGACUUCAAGGACUGGGACCCCCCACCUGCAGGAGGUGGUGCAGUCUUGGCGUGUUCAAGGAUGGGCGACUUCUUAAUGAUGCCAUCCGGCCCAGCGUGAGGUCUGUCCAUGUUGUGUUUCCACCAUUACCCUCCUUUUGGUUCCAAGAAGAGUGACAAGAUAUUGUUCCCUGUGCUAAACUGCAGGAUGUCUCUGCUCACCCACUCCAAGGGGCAGGAGUUUGGAACCAGACACCUUCUCUUGUGAAUGUGGUUGCAGAAAUACCUGGCUUGAGACUCUUUUCCAGAAUUGGCAAGGAGUGAAGCUUGACUUCAGGAACACUUGGCUUCUGGUUGUGCAAGGUAGAAGUGUUUACAACCUGUGGAUCUUUUGGGAUGGUCUGUGAUCUUCCCUGGGCCUUUUCUCUCCAGAAGUCUCCUCCCCCACAAGCUCAUUAUUCCCUGCCACCUGAGCCUCUUCCUCCUCUGUCAACCCAGUGACAAAGAAUGCAGCCAAAUCCAGGUAAUGUGUAGAAAUGCUGGAUGAUCCUUGGUUUCAAGCUGGUUCCAGGGCUGAAGGGUGCUGCCUGAUUCAAAUCCUAUAUGCAUGACCUCCAAAGGUGUGUAUUUUGUCUGAGUUUAAAGAGUGGGUGUGGGUCAGUGUGGGGAUAAUUGCCCUGCUGAAUUUGAGAUAGUCAUAACCACACCUAUAAUCCAUUUCAGGAGGCAGAGAGGGAGAGAAGGAAAUUUCACUGGCAGGAGCAGCAGGCCAGAGCAGAGCAGGGUUCUGCUGAGGGAUGCAGAGGAAGGGCUGGGAGCUGCUUUUAGAGCCCAUGUCUCAACAGAUGGCACUAGAGCACCAGCAGACCCCCACCUGCAACCUCCCUGACUGGACCUUCGGAUUCAAAUAUAAAGUUGGAGAUGGACUGGGGAAGCCAAAAGGGGGCCCAGAGCUAGUUCUGGGUUACAGGGCACCUCCAAAUCUCUGGGCAAUUUGUCUCAUCUCAGCAAAGGGGUCAUAGUUCUGCAAUGCAUGUCAGGUUCAAUUCCUACAUGCUCAGAUGGCCCAAUGGCUAGGUAAUUGGACAGGCUGAUUUGGGCCUGAGUCUCCUUUGUUUCUUUGUUUUUUGCUUUUCAGGGCAGCACUCACAGCACUUGUAAGUGCCCAGGUUAGAGGUCAAAUUGGAGCUAC